rnacentral:rRNA from 1 species
CCUACGGGAGGCAGCAGUGAGGAAUAUUGGUCAAUGGACGAGAGUCUGAACCAGCCAAGUAGCGUGAAGGAUGACUGCCCUAUGGGUUGUAAACUUCUUUUAUAUGGGAAUAAAAUGUUCCACGUGUGGGCUUUUGUAUGUACCAUAUGAAUAAGGAUCGGCUAACUCCGUGCCAGCAGCCGCGGUAAUACGGAGGAUCCGAGCGUUAUCCGGAUUUAUUGGGUUUAAAGGGAGCGUAGGUGGAUUGUUAAGUCAGUUGUGAAAGUUUGCGGCUCAACCGUAAAAGUGCAGUUGAAACUGGCAGUCUUGAGUACAGUAGAGGUGGGCGGAAUUCGUGGUGUAGCGGUGAAAUGCUUAGAUAUCACGAAGAACUCCGAUUGCGAAGGCAGCUCACUGGACUGCAACUGACACUGAGGCUCGAAAGUGUGGGUAUCAAACAGGAAUAGGUACCCCGGUAGUC